rnacentral:rRNA from 1 species
UACGAAGGGGGCUAGCGUUGCUCGGAAUCACUGGGCGUAAAGCGCACGUAGGCGGUUUGCUAAGUCAGGGGUGAAAUCCUGGAGCUCAACUCCAGAACUGCCUUUGAUACUGGCGGACUUGAGUUCGGGAGAGGUGAGUGGAACUGCGAGUGUAGAGGUGAAAUUCGUAGAUAUUCGCAAGAACACCAGUGGCGAAGGCGGCUCACUGGCCCGGUACUGACGCUGAGGUGCGAAAGCGUGGGGAGCAAACAGG